GGGAAAAGCUCAACUUUGAAAUCUGGCACCUUCGGUGUCCGAGUUGUAGUCUCAAGAAGUGUUUUCUGUGCUGGCCCGUGUAUGAGUCUGUUGGAACACAGCGUCAUAGAGGGUGACAACCCCGUUCAUGACACGGACCCCAGUGCUUUGUGAUACACUCUCGAAGAGUCGAGUUGUUUGGGAAUGCAGCUCAAAUUGGGUGGUAAAUUCCAUCUAAAGCUAAAUAUUGGCGAGAGACCGAUAGCAAACAAGUACCGUGAGGGAAAGAUGAAAAGCACUUUGGAAAGAGAGUUAACAGUACGUGAAAUUGUUGAAAGGGAAACGAUUGAAGUCAGACGUGCGUGAUGCGGUUCAGCUCUGGUUCGCCAGAGUGUACUCCGUAUCUUUGCAGGCCAACAUCAGUUUCG
rnacentral:rRNA from 1 species